GGGAACUCCGUGUUUUUUUUUUUUUUUUGGUUUUUUUUUUUUUUUUUUAGGUACACUUGUUUUAAACACAAUUUUACCAUUACAACAAAAACCCAACUUAAAACAAACACCCAACUUACCAAAUAGUGUGAACUUUUAACUUGUACUCUUUCCAUCAGAUUUUUGUUUGGAAGUUUCCUCCUUUGCCUAUGAAGACAAGCAAAAACCAUCAAUGAGCUCUGUAUUUUCUGGAUUAAGUACAAAAAUCUGGCCAACCAGAAGAGGCUUGUGAGGAGAUGGGCUUUUCAGAAUUAAAAGAGCAAAAGACAGCCAUCAGUGGGGGAAAAUAAGAUGGUCCUUUCGAAGUAUCUCAUUAUCCCAAACACUGAAUUCUUCCCCAUCAAGUGCAUAGACCAUAGUGAUUCUAAAACUUUUACUCUAGACUUUUUUUUUUUGGAAGGCCAGUGUCACUGAAGAAAAAGAUACAUCGUGUUCAGAGAUGGUAUCCAUUCAUUCCACAGUGAUCUACCCUUCUCUCAUAUUCAAGGGCUCACUGGGCAGCUAACCCACUCAGCAUAUUGGAUCACUGUGCUCUCUUUAAUUUUUUUGUUAGUAUGUCCUUUGUAAUAAGUAAUAAGCAGAUAAACAUUUAAUCUGAGAUAAUGGCAUGAGCAACUAAUUAUCAAUCUGGUUUCUUAUAUCCUUUAUGGAUUUUACUGCCGCCCCCCCCCCCGCCGCCCCCCGCUUUGGAGGGCCACACCUAUGGCAUACAGAAGUUCCCAGGCUAAGGGUUGAUUUGGAGCUACAGGUGCCGGCCUACACCACAGCCACAGCAACACAGGAUCUGAGCCACGUCUGUAAGCUACAUCACAGCUCAUGGUGACGCUGGAUCUUUAACCCACUGAGUGAGGCCAGGGAUCCAACCUGCAACCUCAUGGUUCCUAGUUGAAUUCAUUUCCACUGAGCUACUAUGGGAACUCCUAGUUUUCACUUUUUGAGGUAUAAAUCGACACAGUUUCAGCUGUACAGCAUAAUGAUUACAUAUUUACAUACAUUGUGAAAUAACACAAUAAGUCUAGUUAACAUUCACCACCAUAUUUAGAAAAAAAAUUCUUUGUGAUGAGAACUUUUUUUUUUUGUCUUUUUUAGGGUCACACCUGUGGUAUACAGAAGUUCCCAGGCUGGAGGUUGAAUCAGAGCUGCAGCUGCCAGCCUAUGCCACAGCCACACCAAAUCCGAGGCACAUCCUCAACCUAUACCACAGCUCGUGGGGAUGCUGGAUCCUUCACCCACUGCAUAAGACCUGGGAUCGAACCCACAUCCUCAUGGACACUUAAUCAGGUUCUCAACCUGCUGAAGCCACAAUGGGAACUCCCAUGAUGGCCAUUCUAACAAAUGUGAGUGAUGUCUCACUGUGGUUUCAAUUUGUAUUUCCCUGAUUAUUAAUGAUGUUGAGCACCUUUUCAUUUACUUGAUGGCUAUCUGUAUGUCUUUAGAAAAAUGUCUAUCUCGAUUCUCUGCCCAUGUUUUAUUUUUUUGCUAUUGAGUUGUAUUAGUUCUGAAUAUAUUUUGGAUAUCAAGCCAUUAUCAGAUAUCUGAUUUGUAAAAUUCAGUAGGUUCCCUUUUUAUUUUGUUGGUAUUUUCUUUUGCUAUGCAGAGCUUUUUAGUUGUGAUGUAGCCAAACUUGUUUUUGCUUUUGUUACCUUUGCUUUUGGUGUCAAAUCCAUAAAGUCACUGUAAGACAGAUGUCAAAGAGCUUACUGCCUAUGUUUUCUUGUAGGAGUUUUAUAUUUUUCAGGUCUUAUAUUUAAGUCAUUGACCCAUUUUAAGUUAAUUUUGUCUAUGGUUUGAGAUAAGAGAGGUCCAAUUGCCAACAAUAUUUACUGAAGAGACUAUCUUUUCCCCAUGUGUAUUCUUGGCUCCUUUACCAUGAAUUAACUGACCACAUAGCAUGGGUUUAUUUUUUGGCCUCUUUAUUCUUUCUAGUUAUCUAUAUGUCUAUAUGUGUCUGUUUUUAUGCCAGUACCAAACUAUUUUGAUUACUAUAUCUUUGUAAUAUGGUUUGAAAACAGGGAGCAUGAUGCCUCCUGCUUGUUUUCCUCAAGAUUGUUUCGGUUAUUUGGGGUCUUGUGUGGUUCCAUACAAAUUUGAGGAUGGUUUUUUCUAUUUCUAUGAAAAAUGACAUUAAGAUACUGACAGAGAUUGCACUGAAUCUGUAGACUGCUUUGGGUAAUGUGGACAUUUUAACAAUAUUCUUUCAGUCCAUUAGCAUGGAGUAACUUUCCAUUUACUUGUGUCUUCAGUUUCUUUCAUCACUGUCCUAUACUUACCAGUGGAUGAGUCUCAUAGUAGUUAAAUUUAUUCAGAGUGUUUGUGGUGUGUGUGUGUCAUUGUAAAUGGGAUAAUUUUUCUUCCUUAUAGUUUGUUAUUAGUAUACAGAAACCACCUGAUUUUUGUAUACUGAUUUUGUAUCCUGCACUAUUACUGAAUUUCUUUAUUAGUUCUAACAGUUUCUGGUGGAGACUCUAAGGUUUUCUCUACAUAAUAUGUUAUCCACAAAUAGUGACAGUUUUACUUCUUCCUUUCCAGUUUGAAUACUUUUAAAUUCUUCUUGUGAAACUGCUGUGGUUACGACUUCCAAUACUAUGCUGAAUAUAAGCAGUGAGAGUGGGCAUCUGUCUUUUUCCUACUCUUAGAGAAAAGGUUUUCAUCAUUUUACAAUUUAGUAUAAGGACAGCUGUGGGCUGGUCGUGUAUGGCCCUUAUUAUGAUGAGAUAUGUACCCUAUAUAUCCACUUUGUUGAGAGUUUUUAUCAUAAACGGUUUUUGGGUUUUCAGAUCUGUUUCCACCUCUGCUGAGAUAAUCAUAUGAUUUUUAGCCUUCAUUUUGUUAAGGUGGUGUAUCAUCACCCUGACUUGUGGAUAGUGAACCAUCUUUGCAGCCCUGGAAUACAUCCCACUUGAUCAUGGUAUAUGAUCCUUUUAAUGUACUCUUAAAUUCAGUUUUAUAAUAUUUUGUUGAGGAUUUUAUACAUUUUCAUCAGCAAUAUUGCCUGUAAUUUUCUUUUCUUCUAGUCCCCUGGCCUACUUUUGGUAACUGGAUAAUGCUGGUUUUGUAAAACGAGAUUGGAAGUAUUCCCUUCUCUUCUAUUUUUGGAAGAGUUUGAGAGGGAUUGGUAUCAAUUCUUCUUUAAAUAUUUGGUAGAAUUCAGCAGUGAAGCUCUCUGAUCCCAGACUUUAGUUUGUUGGGAGGUUUAUGAUUACCGAUUUAAUCUCUUUACAAAAAGCUGGUCUUUUCAGAUGUUCUGUUUCUUCAUGAUCAAGUCUUGGUUGGUUGUAUGUUUCUUUCUUACAGGUGUCCAAAAUUUGGUGGAUAAUUGUUCACAGCAGUCUCUUAUGAUCUUUUGUUAUUUGUGUGGUAUCAGCUGUAAUGUCUCCUUUUUCAUUUGAUUUUAUUUGAAUCCUUUUUUUUUUUUUUUUUGGUGAGUCUAGCUAAAGGUUUGUGAAUUUUCUUUCUUUAAAAAAACAGAUCUUAGUUUUAUUUCUAUUUUCUAUUAUCUUUUUAUAUAUUUUUUUCAUUUAUUCCUGCUCUGAUCUUUGUUAUUUCUUUUCUUCUACUACCGCUGGGCGUUGUUAUCUUGAGAUGUAAAGUUAGGUUGAAUUCUUCUUGUCUCUUGAGGUCUACUUUUUCUGUAUUCCUGAAGUUUGGGUAAAUUGUAUUGGGUAUAUUGUAUUUCAUUUUCAUUUGUCUCAAGGUGAUUUUUUUCUUUCUUUUUUUUUAAUUCUUCUUUUUACAGCCACACCUUAGGCAUAUGGAAGUUCCUGGGCCGGGGUUGAAUCAGAGCUGUGACUGAGGCCUAUGCCACAGCCAUGGCAACACUGAAUUCGAAUCACAUCUGUGACCUAUGCCACAGCUUGUGGCAAUGCCAGAUCCUUAACCCACUGAGCAAGGCUGGGGAUCAAACCUACAUCCUCACAGAGGCAAUGUAGGGCCUUUAACCCACUGAGCUACAAUAGACUCCUCUCUUUCCAUUUCUUCUUGUAUCCAUUAGUUGUUGAGUAGCAUAUUAUUUAUGAAAUCUACAUAUUUGUGAAUUUUCCAGCUUUCUUCUUAUAAUUCUAGUUUCGUAUCAGUGUAGUCAAAAAGAUGCCUGUAUGAUAUGAGUCUUCUUAAGUUUAUUAAGAGUUGUUUUAUGGAGUAACAUAUGAUAUAUCCUGGAGAAUUUUUCAUGUAUACUUGAGAAAGAUGUAUGGCUUUGGAUCAAAUAUUCUGUAUAUAUCUAUUGAGUGUAAGUGGUAUAAUGUGUCAUUUAAGGCCAAUGUUUCCUUAUUGAUUUUCUGUCUAGAUGAUCUAUCAAUUUUUUUUCGUCACACUGGAGACAUGCAGGAGUUUCCAGGCCAGGGAUCAAACCCAAGCCACAGCAGUGACAAUGCCAGAUCUUUAACCACUAGGCCACCAGAGACCUCCAAGAUGAUCUAUCAAUUGAUGAAAAAGUGGUAUUAAAGUUCCCUGCCCAUUAUUGUAUUUCUACUUUUCCAUUUAUAUCUGUUAGUGUUUGCUUUAUAUAUUUAGGUGCUCCUUUGUAGGGUGCAUAAAUAUUUACAAAUGUUGACUCUUGUGGAUUGACCCCUUCAUCAUUAUUUAAUGUUCUUCUUUGUCUCUUAGUACAGUCUUUGUUUUAAAGACUAUUUUGUUUGAUAUAAAUAUAGCUACCCUAGCUUUCUUUUGGUUUCCAUUUGCAUGGAAUAUUUUUUCUACCUCUUUCACUUUCAGUCUGUUCUUAAAUUUGAAGUGAGUUUCUUGUAGGCAGCAUACAGAUGCACCCUUUUUUAUUCAUUCUACCACUCUAUCUUUUGACAUCAGAGGUUAGUCCAUUUACUUUUAAAGCAUUUAUUAAUAAGUAUGUACUUACUGCCAUUUUGUUCAUUGUUUUCUGGCUGUUCUUUAGUUACUUUGUUACUUCUCUUGCUCUCUUCCAUUGUGAUUUGAUGAUUUUCGAUAGUUGUAUGCUUAGGUUCCUUUCUCUUUCUCUUGUGUGUAUCUACUCUAAGUUUUUACUUUGCGGUUACCAUAAGGCUUACAUAAAACAACUUUUAUUUACUAUAGUCUCCUUUAAGUUGAUAACAACUUAAGUUUGAAUGCAUUCCAAAGCAUUACACUUUUACUCUCCACCCUCAUGUUUUAUGUUUUUGAUGUCCAUUUUAUAACUUUUAAUCUUGUGUAUCCCUUAAUUAUUGCCAUUACAGUUAUUUUUACUAUUUUGCCUUAUAACCUUUAUGUUAGCUUUAUAGGUGAUUAAUUCCACCACCAUUACAACACUAGAUUAUUCCAAAUUGUACUAUAUAUUUACCUUUACCAGUGAGAUUUGUACUUUGCUAAGUUUUCUAAUUACUGCUUAGCACCUUUUUCUACUGAAAGGAGUCGCUAACAUUUCUUGUAAGGCUGGUUUAGUGGUGAUAAGCUCCUUUAGCUUUUGCUUAUUAGGAAAACUUUUUCUUUCCUUCAGUUCUGAAUGACAACUUUUCCAAUAAAAAUACUCUUGGAAGCUUUUUCUUUCAGCAGUUUGAAUUUAUCAUGCCAAUCCCUUCCGGCCUGCAAAGUUUCUGUUGAAAAUCUGCUGAUAGUUUUAUGGAUAUUCUGUUGCAUAUAUAAAGUUGUUUUUUUCAUGCUGCUCUCAAGUUUUUCUCCUUGUUUUUAACUUUUGACAUUUUAAUUGUAAUGUGUCUUUGUUGUGGAUGUCUUUGGGUUCUUCUUUUCUGGAUGCCUCUGGGCUUCCUGGAUAUGGAUGAAGGUUUUAGCCAUUCAACUUCACAUAAGUUCUUCGUUCUUUUCUCUCUUGCUUCUCUUUCUAGGACUCCUAUAAUGCAAAUGUUGGUCUGUGUUAAUCUGUAUGAUAUCUCAUAAAUCCCGUCAGAUAUCUCUUUUUUACCUUUUUGCUGUUUUGAUUGGUGAGUCCCAUUGCUCUGUCUCUGAUUUCACUGAUCCUUUCUUCUGCUUCUAGUGCACUCUAGAACCCUUCUAGUGUAUUUUUUAGUUCAAUUAGUGUAUUCUUCAGCUCUGUGACUUCUACUGUCACUUUCUUGUAUUUUUACUUUUUAUUCUUUCUUGAUGUCCUGUGUUCAUCCAUUCCUCUCCCAAGUUCAGUGAGCAUUAUUAUGACUGUUAUUUUGAACCCUUCAUCAGGUAAAUCCCUUACUGCAUUAAGGUUUUAUCCUGGGGUUUUAAUAAUUUGGAACAUAUUCCUCUGUUUCUUCAUUUUCCUUGACUCUCUGUGUUGGCUUCUGUGUAUCAGAUAGAAUAGCCACCUCUCCCAGUCUUGAAGGGUGGCCUCAUGUAGGAGAUGAAACUUACUGUUUGACUCUGCCAUAGCUCUUGAUUAUCUAACUAUUACAACUGUCCAAGGAACCUAUUUUAUUUUCAGUGGUUCUCAGUAGCUGAGGGUGUGCUAAGAUCUAUUGGUGUCCUGAAGGGAUGAAUCUGAGUACCAGAGUCUCCUACCUAAUUUUGCAGGACUACAAAUGUAAGUCUUGAUGGCUAACAGAGCCAGACCAUCAGGAACCAUUCCCUGGGUGCAAGUUACAAAAAUCGGGCCUCUAGGUGAGUAUAAAGGCUCCUUUCUGGGUGAUGCUGAUGACCCGGAGUGAGGCGGAGAAACAGCUCAAAGACAGUGAGCACCAACUUAUGUUCCCUAAGAGCACACUUGUAGGCCUCUAGAUACGUGCCAAACCUGAAGCUUGCCCCUCAGGCCAAAGCUCCAGGACAAGAAAGUAGGCCUCUUACACAGAAAUACUGAGGAUGUGUUUCAGUCUGCUAUCUGUGUAGUACUCUGUGGAUGGUAGCAGGCUAGGAGCUGUAUCUUUGAAUGCUUUGGGUGGGCAGUUGAGUCUGAGCUCAUGACCUGUUCUGUUUCUCACUUUGAUAUAGCCUUAUGGGUCUUCAUGGACACAAGCUCUAUUGGCUUUCAAAGCUAGUUGUUUUGGGGGCUCAUUUCUCAGGUGGUCUUUAAGGUUGGGGUACUGAUGUGGGGGUCAAUUUUUUGCUCCUUAAGGAGAAGUGGGCUGAUGGUGGGCUGCCAUGUUGGUGGUGGGGUUUAUGGUUAGACUGUGUCCCUGCCUCUCCUACCCUCUUCAAUGCAGGCCUUCUCUCAUUUUCCAGAUGAAUAGGAGUCACUCAGCUAAUUUGUUUUUUCUUUCUUUCUUUCUAGAGGUAAUUUUUCCAUAUGCAGCUGUAGAUCUGGUGUAUCCAUGGGAUGAGUUCUGCUUUCUAGAGCAACAUGAAGAAUUAGAUCCUCCCUGGGAGGAAGGACUACUAGAAUUUAAUUACCUUCUAUGUACCAGGCAUCUUGCUAAUACUGAGCACAGAGGUACUGACACAUCACUGCUGUGUAACGCACACAGCUAAGUGGUGUGACCACAUGCGACAGGUAACCCACAAUGACAGGAGCGCCCAGAGGAAAGGCCCCUGCCUUUGGCCUGGGAAGGGAAAAGUAGACAGAGACGUCUUCUUGGAGCAGCUGAUGCUUGACCUGGACCCUGAAGGUAUUCACUCAGCUUCAAUUUUCUAAUCUGGAAAAUGGAACUGCCUAUCUUGAAUGGCUCUCGGGAAGGCAGAAAUAAUACAUUCUUAUACAAACCCUUUGGGAUCAUAAAGCACAAGCUCCCACAUCAGAUUCUAAGUCCCAAGUUUCCAUCUAUUUCUGCUACUCUAAAACUAAGGAAAUUAAACCAGGAAUCUCCAAAGACUUACAAGAGAUGAAGCGGCUGGGGGACCGGCAAAGUCCUGGGACAAAGCAUCAAGGACGAAGUCUUCACUCAAGGGCUGCAAGAACCAGGACAUGUAUCAACAAACACCCCCUCACCAGCCUCCUCCUUAAAAUGUCCCCACUGUUUCUGUGCUGAUCAACUUAUUAAACAGAAAGCUAGGCCUUUUCUGAAUUAGUCAUCAGGGUGAAAGGAGAAAGAUCCACUCAGAGAAAACUGGCUUGCUCACCAGGACUGGUUCCUUGGGGUCUUUGUGCGGGAGAGUUUUUCCAUCUUUGUCCUAUGCAGGAGGAGAAGAAGAGGGCACAGAGUCACUCUGUGUGUAUCCUAAGCGUGCACCUUGUAAACGUUUUAAGAAAUUGACAGGCUCUACCUGAUGAUGUUGUACAUUGUAAAUUAGAUCCAUCAUUUCAGGAAACAGACUCUCUCACCAGGAAAUAUGCUCUGAUUAGCUCAUGUCAACAAACAGCUGGCACACAUCAGGCAUUCUAAGCACGGGGCUGCGAACCCCAGAGCCCAAAGACUCAUGUAGGCGAAGCAUAUGAGCAGCUAGUGUAGUGUGUGAUGCAUGAGGCUGUGACAAUCUGCAGGACACUGAGGGAGCAAGAGGAUGAACCCCUCACGGGCCUGGGGAAUUGGCUUUGCACAAGUUGCCUGAAAAAAGCUGGUUAACUUGACAGGUAGCACAUCCAACUAGUAUGUACUGACAAUAUGCCAAGCCCUGUCCUAAGCCCCAGGAAUACCAAAAAUGAGACAAAGUUGCUGCCCUCGGGGAGCUCACCCUGGGGGUACGAUGCUUGAAAUGUAUGGCUCAGAUGACGCCAAGCUUCAAAUGACUCUACUUGCCACUUCUGAGUAACAGGACAAAGUAAGGCAUUUGGGGCUCUUUGGUGAAAGAUUUAUAAGUAAGUGGUAAAUCUAAUUUAUCUAUACACAUGAAAAUAAGCAUGAGGUUUUCUUUCUAUAUACACAGUUAACCCUUGGAAAAGGCAGGAUUAGGGGAGCAGACUUCCAGGCAGUUGAACAUCCUUGUAUAAUUUAUACCUGGCCCUCUCUACCUACGGUUCUGCAUCUGUGGAUUCAACCAAAUGCAGGAGGUGUGACGCUGCAGUAUUUAUACUGGAAAAAUAAUCCGAAUUUAAGUGACCUAUGUAAUUCAAACUGUAUUGCUCAAGGAUCAACUGCAUAUUUCUCCUGGUAAACUGGAUGGGGUGGUUUUGGUUUGUUUUGUUCAAAUGCGAGGAGAUGCAAUGGUUGAGCUUAUCACCAGCUGCCCUUUUGACUGACAAACUCCUUUACCCCUUUUCUCAGCUCUGUUAUGGUUCUUGUGAACCUUUUGGCCACUAUUCGGAGGGAAGGAAAACAAACCGGGGGGUUGUUCUCUGCCAACCUUUAGCUGCCAAGGCAGCAAAUUUCCCAAGUGACACCCAGGGCCAGGGGAGGGGGCAUGUUGGCUCCCCACUCACACUGAGCCCGUCCGUUCUGGAGGGGACACCCACGGUCUAUCACAGGGAGCUGCAUCUACCGAAGAGGCCUGAUGGGAACACAGUUAAUGAACAUAAGAGGAUUUAAACGAGGAUCAAGCCAGGACCUGGGAGUGCUGCAGAUCAUUCCUCAGGAAAUAACUGCUCCUCAUUUGGUUUUCCUGUCUGGCUAAAAGUUUCCUAAAUUAAAUUUUUUUUUAAUUUAUGGUAUUGUGAACCAUGUAUUAGACUGGCAAAAAUUAUGUAGCUAAGACAUGAGAUUUCUUUGACCUAAGGGCACGAAAGGCCACUUGAGGAAUUUUUCAGCUUCAUAGCUAGUGUCCCAACAGGAUAUUAGUGGACUAAUACUCUUUGGUGUUUGAAAUUAUUAAGAAACAUGAUCUUUAUAUCCCAGGUCUGUUCCCAUGUCCCUUUGCUUUAUGUACAUGAGAUUCAAUAUGAAUAAAAAUAAAUUAGAAAAAGA